rnacentral:rRNA from 1 species
AGCGAAUGCUGGCGGCAGGCCUAACACAUGCAAGUCGAACGAACUCUUCGGAGUUAGUGGCGGACGGGUGAGUAACACGUGGGAACGUGCCUUUAGGUUCGGAAUAACUCAGGGAAACUUGUGCUAAUACCGAAUGUGCCCUUCGGGGGAAAGAUUUAUCGCCUUUAGAGCGGCCCGCGUCUGAUUAGCUAGUUGGUGAGGUAAAGGCUCACCAAGGCGACGAUCAGUAGCUGGUCUGAGAGGAUGAUCAGCCACAUUGGGACUGAGACACGGCCCAAACUCCUACGGGAGGCAGCAGUGGGGAAUCUUGCGCAAUGGGCGAAAGCCUGACGCAGCCAUGCCGCGUGAAUGAUGAAGGUCUUAGGAUUGUAAAAUUCUUUCACCGGGGACGAUAAUGACGGUACCCGGAGAAGAAGCCCCGGCUAACUUCGUG